rnacentral:rRNA from 1 species
AGGGCACCACCAGGAGUGGAGCCUGCGGCUUAAUUUGACUCAACACGGGAAAACUCACCCGGCCCGGACACCGUAAGGAUUGACAGACUGAGAGCUCUUUCUUAAUUCGGUGGGUGGUGGUGCAUGGCCGUUCUUAGUUGGUGGAGCGAUUUGUCUGGUUAAUUCCGAUAACGAACGAGACUCUGGCCUAUUAAAUAGACGAUAUAUCUAUCUAGUAUAUCGCGCUUCUUAGAGGGACAAGCGGCGUCCAGCCGCAUGAAAUAGAGCAAUAACAGGUCUGUGAUGCCCUUAGAUGUCCGGGGCUGCACGCGCGCUACACUGAAAGAAUCAGCGUGCGUUUUACCUAGUUCGGAAGAACCGGGUAACCCAAGUAAAUUCUUUCGUGCUUGGGAUAGGGAAUUGCAAUUAUUUCCCUUGAACGAGGAAUUCCCAGUAAAUGCGGGUCAUAAGCUCGCGUUGAUUACGUCCCUGCCCUUUGUACACACCGCCCGUCGCUACUACCGAUUGGAUGACUUAGUG